rnacentral:tRNA from 1 species
GCCUGUGGCUCAGUGGUCGUGCACUUGCCUGGCAUGUGUGAGGCACUGAGUUCAAUUCUCAGCACCGCA